GACGAACGCUGGCGGCGUGCUUAACACAUUCAAGUCGAACGGAAAGGCUCUGCUUUUGUGGGGUGCUCGAGUGGCGAACGGGUGUGUAACACGUGAGUAACCUGCCCUUGACUUUGGGAUAAAUUCAGGAAACUGGGGCUAAUACCGGGUAGGAGAUCCUGCUGCAUGGAGGGGGUUGGAGAGUAUCCGCGGUUGGGGAUGGACUAGCGCCUUAUCAGCUAGUUGGUGGGAUAGCGGCUUACAAAGGCUUUGACGGGUAGCCGGCAUGAGGGGGUAACCGGCCACAUUGGGACUGCGUUACGGCCACGAAUCCUAUAGAAGGCAGCAGGUGGAUAUAUUGCACAAUGAGCGGACGCCUGAUGCAGCAACGCCGCGUGCGGGAUGACGGCCGUCGGGUUGUAAACCGCUUGCGCCUGUGACGAAGCGUGAGUGACGGUAGUAGGUAAAGAAGCACCGGCUAACUACGUG
rnacentral:rRNA from 1 species